AGAGUUUGAUCAUGGCUCAGGAUGAANGUNNNGNNGGCCUAACACAUGCAAGUCGAGGGGCAUCGGGACGUAGCAAUACGUUGCCGGCGACCGGCGGAUGGGUGAGUAACGCGUAUGCAACCUACCCGUAGCAGGGGGAUNNCCCGUUGAAAGACGGAUUAAUACCCCGUAACACAGGGGCUCCGCAUGGAGAUUAUUGUUAAAGGGUCAUUUCUUUUUCAGGGAUGGUCCGGCUGCGGAUGGGCAUGCGUUCCAUUAGGUAGUUGGUGUAGGUAACUGCUCACCAAGCCGACGAUGGAUAGGGGAACUUAGAGGUUGGUCCCCCACACUGGUACUGAGACACGGACCAGACUCCUACGGGAGGCAGCAGUGAGGAAUUUUGGUCAAUGGACGCAAGUCUGAACCAGCCAUGUCGCGUGAAGGAGGACGGCCCUAAGGGUUGUAAACUUCUUUUGCAGUGGAAUAAAGUUUGCCACGUGUUGGCGAUUUGCAAGUACGCUGCGAAUAAGGAUCGGCUAACUCCGUGCCAGCAGCCGCGGUAAUACGGAGGAUCCAGGCGUUAUCCGGAUUUAUUGGGUUUAAAGGGUGCGCAGGCGGGGAAUUAGGUCGGCGGUGAAAUUUCGGGGCUCAACCUCGACAGUGCCGUUGAAACCGUUUCUCUUGAGUGCGGAUGAGGUAGGCGGAAUUUGUGGUGUAGCGGUGAAAUGCGUAGAUAUCACAAGGAACACCGAUUGCGGAGGCAGCUUACUAAACCGUUACUGACGCUCAUGCACGAAGGCGUGGGGAUCAAACAGGAUUAGAUACCCUGGUAGUCCACGCAGUAAACGAUGAUUACUUGCUGUUUGCGAUACACAGUAAGCGGCGUAGCGAAAGCGUUAAGUAAUCCACCUGGGGAGUACGUUCGCAAGAAUGAAACUCAAGGAAUUGACGGGGCCCGCACAAGCGGAGGACAUGUGUUUAUUCGAUGAUACGCGAGGAACCUUACCCGGGCUUGAAUGCAUUCGACGGGGUUGGAAACAGCCUUUCCCUU
rnacentral:rRNA from 1 species